rnacentral:rRNA from 1 species
UACGUAGGGGGCUAGCGUUGUCCGGAAUCAUUGGGCGUAAAGCGCGCGUAGGCGGCCCGGUAAGUCCGCUGUAAAAGUCAAAGGCUCAACCUUUGAAUGUCAGUGGAUACUGCCGGGCUAGAGUCCGGAAGAGGCGAGUGGAACUCCUGGUGUAGCGGUGGAACGCGCAGAUAUCAGGAAGAACACCGACGGCGAAGGCAGCUCGCUGGGACGGUACUGACGCUGAGGCGCGAAAGCGUGGGGAGCGAACAGG